rnacentral:tRNA from 2 species
GGCCCGUUGGUCAAGAGGUUAAGACACCGCCCUUUCACGGCGGUAACAGGGGUUCGAGUCCCCUACGGGUCACCA